rnacentral:rRNA from 1 species
CCUACGGGGCGCUGCAGUGGGGAAUAUUGGACAAUGGGCGAAAGCCUGAUCCAGCCAUGCCGCGUGUGUGAAGAAGGCCUUCGGGUUGUAAAGCACUUUCAGUGGGGAAGAAAGCCUUGGGGCUAAUACCCUCGAGGAAGGACAUCACCCACAGAAGAAGCACCGGCUAACUCCGUGCCAGCAGCCGCGGUAAUACGGAGGGUGCGAGCGUUAAUCGGAAUUACUGGGCGUAAAGCGCGCGUAGGCGGUCUGAUAAGCCGGUUGUGAAAGCCCCGGGCUCAACCUGGGAACGGCAUCCGGAACUGUCAGGCUAGAGUGCAGGAGAGGAAGGUAGAAUUCCCGGUGUAGCGGUGAAAUGCGUAGAGAUCGGGAGGAAUACCAGUGGCGAAGGCGGCCUUCUGGACUGACACUGACGCUGAGGUGCGAAAGCGUGGGUAGCAAACAGGAUUAGAUACCCCUGUAGUC